rnacentral:rRNA from 1 species
AACGAACGCUGGCGGCGUGCCUAACACAUGCAAGUCGAACGAGACCUCCCGGCCUAGUGGCGCUCGGGUGCGUACCGCCUGGGAACCUGCCCUUAGGUUCGGAAUCCCUCCCUGUAAGGUGUGCUCAUACCGGAUAAUGUCUUCGGACCAAAGAUUUGUUGCUUUUGGAUGGGCCCGCGUUAGAUUCGCUAGUUGGUAGUGGACAAGCGUGUCAAUGCGAGGUUGCAUAGCUGGUCUGUGACGAGGAUCAGCCACACUGGGACUAAGACACGGCCCAGUCUCCUACGGGAGGGAGCAGUAGAGAAUAUUGGACGAUGGGCGAAGGUCUAAUCCAGCAAUGCCGCGUGAGUGGUGCAGGGCUUAGGGUUGCAAAGCUCUUUUAGCCGGGAUGAUAAUGACAGUACCGGGAGAAUAAGCACCGGCUAACUACGUG